AAAAUCAUUUGUUUUUUUAAAACAAUUACCCAAAACCUUCAGUAAACCCAAUGUCUCCUUCUCUCUCUCGAUCUCCCCAGAACCUUCAACCUUCAACCCAAAAACCUUCAACCACCGUUGCAGCUCCAUCAGGGAGAGAGAGCUCGUCGCCGCUGUAAAGGCACUGCCAUGGGAGCCGUCGCCCUCGAUCUUCGUCCCGACUUCGGCCUUGGUCCUUCCACUCUAGGUUUUUUCUUCUCUCUCUCUUCUGUCUUUUUCUUUCGGAUUGUCUUAAUUUCUUAAUCAAUUUUGGAAUUAUUCUCCUUCGUUUAUAAUUGGCUAUGUGAUUUGCAAUUUCUUCAUCUGAUUAUCUGGGGAUUUCUUUUAGAAUCAAUUUGGUAGAUGAUUUGAUAUAAAAAUUCACGAAAUUUUGCAAUAAUCUUCAAUUAAAUUUCUAGGCUUUUCUAUUUUAUUGAAUUUCGUAGUGGAGUUGAUUUAAAUUUCACGAAUAGAUUAAUUUGCAUAGGUUUGAUUUACUUUUCUGCAUUUUUUUAUUGCAAAUUUUUUUAUUAUAUUUCUGGGUAUUUUUUUGUCAUUUUGGAUUAGUUUUGUAGAGGAUUUGAUUUGCAUCGCAUAAAUUUCUAUAAAAAUCAUCGUUUUUUCCAAUUUUUCUGAGCGACAAAUUAAGAAAAUGGUUGAGAUUGUUUCCAUGAAAGGUUAAAAAAUGCAGAAUAUGUUUUGGGUUUUUAAUUGUUUUUGAGGAUUAUUGAUCUAAAUUUUUGAGAUUUAGAAAACAAUCUUGGAUAGAAGUGUUUGACCCCAAUUUUUGUUGUGUCGUAUUACUAUUGAAUUAAAAAAUGCAGAAUAUGUUGUGUGGUUCUUGUUAUAAUUGGUGAUUCGAUGAGAAUUUGUGGGAUUUAUGUGAUGGAAUUUUAAAACACCAGACUUUGUAUCAUGAUGAUAGUGAAUUGGACAAAAUUUCAGAGGUAAUUUCAUUUGAUAAAUAUGAAUUUACUCCACAUAUAUUCACGCUUUUAAACUCUGCCAAAUAAAAUAUAUGGUCUCUUUUGUAUACCAGAUCAAGAAUGAUGCUUUAGAAACCGGUGAACUCGAUUACAUUCAUGGAGCUGCAAUGGUACGCUAUAGCAGGAAAUUUCCUUGGUCUUCCUGCAGUUACUGUACCGGGUUGCCUAUCGGUCUGCAAUUUAUCGAAAAACCUGGGUUGAAGCAACAUUAAUUCACAUAGCUUUUGCAAUCCAGACGCUCAUCAUCGUCGUUUCAACUUCAAAGGAGAGAGAGAUGGAUUUGGCAAGCAGAGCGAUGAACAUAGUGAACAAAUUGGUAAACAACAACACAUUCGUCAACAUAUGCUUAGUGGGUUCAUUCACUGCUCUUGGAAUCAGAUCAUUGAAUCAAGAAAACCUAAUUGCAGCCCUUGAAUCCAAGAGACCAGCUCUUUCCAACACCAACAAAGCUAUGAAGAAAUCAAUCUGGGAUUGGAAACAGAAGCUUUACGCUGAAGCUUCUUCCUCUGAAACCUCCAUUGUUCCUCUUUCUCGCCUUAAGGCCAUCUAUGGCGAAUUUGUCACUCCCCCUUCUGCUUUACUUGCAGUUACUUGAACAAAGAAGGUCUAAGCUCUGAAAACGCCAUGAGAAGAAAAGGGAGUGAACAUCUCAUACAGUUUGUACGACCUCUCUGUGGAUUAAUGAGCUACUUAUAUUUUGUAUGUAUCUCAUGUUUUAUAGAUGACUGAUUCAUUGAAUUCAACAUAAAUGCAUUUUUUCUUUCAGUCCUAUCA